CAAACAGGAUCAUUGACAACAAAGGCGCCAUUUCCCCCAACGGUUAACCGCCGAGGCGUUACGGUCGGUUGUUUUCUGUUUGUUCAGGUACAAGCCACAGAGGAACGGCCGGCCUGUGCGCGCGCUCCCCGCGGGCCGACGACGACGCCUCGUGCGCCGCCACCCUGCGGUGAUUUACCGCUGGUAGAGCGACCGACCCGACAUGUACCCGCAAGGCCGGCAUCCGGCACCUCACCAGCCGGGUCAGCCUGGCUUCAAGUUCACUGUGGCCGAGUCAUGUGACAGGAUCAAAGACGAGUUUCAGUUCCUGCAGGCCCAGUACCACAGUCUUAAAGUGGAGUACUAUAAGCUGGCCAGUGAGAAGACGGAGAUGCAGCGUCACUAUGUCA